GAGCCCCAGCAUAGCGCCCAUGAAGGGGAAGAAGCCACGGGGGGAAGAGAAGUAGAAGGAGAAGAGGAAAACUCGACGCCCGCAACCUGUUCAGCGAAACGCCGGAGCCAGAAUACGUCUUCGUCAAGCCAGCGCCCAUACGCAGAUGUCGACGCAGCGGCUCUGCACGGCAUGGCCUCAACCCGCCGGCCUCGCCUCGCCACAGCCCCGACCUUGCCCUCUUCGAGCCGAAACGGUCCUGACGAGAAGGAGUUGAUCGACGUUCCAAGCAACCAGCGGAUCCAGAAGGACUACCCCAACACCCGGAGAAUCCAGAAGGACGUACCGGACGACUAGAAGACGUCAUAGACCGAGGAAGGCUACGAACACCUAUCAGGUUCACGCCCGUCCGCGAUUGAGUACUUAUUAGGCAUUGCAUGCUAGAUACGCUACGCUCCCAAAUUGAAUGUGAUGAGAUGAGCUUGCAUGGCCAUUUAUUUACUGUAUUCCUUUAUUCCCAUACUUAGACAUGAAUUGUUGUAUGCUAUUGCUACUAUGAGUGAGAUUUGGGGUAUGGGAAUAUAUGAUGUGAUAGUUCUUGCUUGCUGGAAGUUUGCCUCCACAUAUAUGGGAGUUGGUGAUUAGGUUACGGCGGGGGCGAGCGGACCCUUUCCCUGAUCUUCAGAUCGGGAGCCGGAGAUUGUGCGUUGGGCGCGAUCCUGAGCAGGUCCUGUAAUUGGGUGAAGGGCACCUGUGGCGGGUGCUAGAUCAUUCCCGUGGAAACAUGGUAGAGGUGUAGUAAUGGAGGCGAUACUUGUGAUGGGUAUCGAUUGCAGACCGUGUUGACGGAAUGCUACUUUGGACGAAGACACUCACCUCAGUCGGAUGAAUGACUUGACUUUGUGGCCCUAGUGACGGAACUAUGUCAAAUGUGCACACCACUUAUCCUUUAUGAGGGGGGACCCAACCCGAGCUAGCUAUGCGCGGCAUCAUACCUGUAGGAGGAUAGAGUUUUCGUGUCAGGGGGAAUGGGCGAGACCCUGAGCCCCCGAUCAUAGGAUCCAUGAGGAUUCCUUUCUAGAUUGCUUCACAACCCUGGGCGACCUUCUGCGGGAGGACGCACCCCAAACCGGGAGUAGGAUGGUGCCGUAGCCGUUAGUUUUGUUGACUGGUGCCUCGGAGAAAGUUGGCUGAUCCCCGGCUGGAUUUGGGGCGAGUGGGUACAGGUGUACAACCCCUGCAAGGUGAAAACUAUACGUAUAGCCGCGUACUCGGUCAUGUACAACUCUGGAUCUGGCACCACAUUGUAGUGAGAACCACAUAUACUUUUCUACCUCCCUCAAGUCCACUUUUCCUACUCGGAUAGCAGCUGAGGUGCGGGGAGAGGGAGUUCCCGCACCGAAACAGGGUUGAGACAGUUGUAGUGGAAGAUAGGAGACCGGGAGUCCGGAACGCCAGAGCUGCCCACGUCGGAAGGAGAUUUGGAUGAUUUAUUUAUAUAUUGCUUGCAUAGGAAGACUUAGCCUAUCCAUGGCAUUAUCUUUAUACCAUUUGCAACCACAUAAAGCUUGCAUACAGAUGGUGACGUGAACCUAUCCCGUCCUUGGGGAUAGCCUGAUAGAUGCAGAAUCUAAGUGAAGGAGUCGACAGGAUGACAGGCCCGAGCUACACUCCGAGCUGCCUAUGGAGAGGAUUCGUAAAGAUGAAAUUUGCCCAGAAGACUAGAUAUCGUUUCCACUUUCUAUUUGUUUUCUUUUAGCCCAAGGGGCUUGUACUCUGAGAUUCGUAUUACUAUCCUUCGGAUUAUGUAAUUCAUAAAUCCAUGUGAUAUUGUAAACGUGAGAUAUGUCUGUGAUAUUCGAUUAAAAUGA